CUUCAUAUAAAAAUUAUAGUACCUCCAAUAAGAUCCACAUCUGUCUAUUUCUCAUGGAAUAUAUCAAUGAAUGUUAGCAAUAGUUUGUAAUGUUCUGACAUCCACCAUAUUGAUUAUCAAUAAAAAAAAAAAAAAUCUAUAUAAAAAUUAAGAAUGAUGCUUAAUUUAAGCGACAAUAUAAGAAACAUGACAAUGAACCUAAGUAAAAGAAAUCACAUGCUAACAUUGAUGUCAACACAAUUUUUCUUGACUUAAUGCUACAAAAUGAAUUAUAAAGCAUUAAUCCGUUAUAUAUAGUUGUAAUAUAAAAUCCGAGGAUAAAAAAUC
rnacentral:lncRNA from 1 species